rnacentral:rRNA from 1 species
ACGCUGUGUGGUGGAUGGCUUGGCUCAGGUACCGAUGAAGGACGUGGCAAGCUGCGAUAUGCUUGGGGUAGGCGCAUGCAGCCUUCGAACCCAAGAUUUCCUAAUGGGACUUCCCAACUUCGGUUGUUCGCAUAUGCGAACGGUGACGCGGCGGACUGAAACAUCUCAGUAGCCGCAGGAAAAGAAACCAAUAGGUAUUCCCUUAGUAAAGGCGAUUGAAAAGGGAACAGGACAAACCGAAUCUCUUAUGGUAACAUAAGAGAGAUGUGGGGUUUGGACUACGGCUUUGCCUAACUCUCCAAGUCGAAGUAAGCUGGAAAGCUUUGCGAUACAGGGUGAUAGCCCCGUAGAGGUAAGAGAGAAGGUAGUUACGUAGUAUCCAGAGUACUACUGGUUGAAUAUCCAGUGGGAAUAUGGGAGCCAGAUACUCCUAAUCCUAAAUAUAACCUGAGUCCGAUAGCGCAUUAGUACGGUGACGGAAAGCUGAAAAGUAUCCGUAAAAGGAGCUGAAAAGAGCCUGAAACCAUACAGUUAUAGGUUGGCAUGGCGAAGCGUUCUGCUUUGUUAUGCCGUCCGUUUCGAAACACGCGGCAAGGAGUUUAUCUUCGUGGCGAGGAUAACGUAAUGGUAUCCAUAGCGAAAGCAAAAAUCCCGCAGCUUGCAAGGGGAUUGGGUACGAAAGUGCCCGAAGUCACGGGGAUAAUACCCGAAACCGGUCGAUCUAGUCCUAGGCAGGGUGAAGUCAGGCGAAAGCCUGAUGGAGGCUCGCUACCGCAGAUGAGACACAAAUCUCUCGGGUGACCUGGGACUAGGGGUGAAAAGCCAAUCGAGAUCGGUAAUAGCUGGUUCCUCUCUAAAUGAACUAAAGUUCAGCCUCGGCGGAGAUAGAUACAGGGGUAUAGUUACUGAUUGGGCAACCAAGGGUAGAAAUAUCCAGUUGUCCUGUCAAACUCGGAAUCUUGUAUCGUCGUAGAAGCCGGGAGUGCGGAUGCGGGGUAAGCUCGUUAUCCGAGAGGGAAAGAACCCGGACUAAGGUUAAGGUCCCAAAAUGUUGACUAAGUGAGAAAAGGCGUUGUUGUCCACAAACAACUGGGAAGUUGUCUUAGAAGCAGACAUCUUUUAAAGAGUGCGUAAUAGCUCACCAGUCUAGGUCAGCGGCCCUGAAAAUGCACGGGACUAAGUCAACUACCGAUACCUUAGAUGUUGAAAAACAUAGGGUAGAGAGGUGAUCCGAUGGGGCGGAAGCUUUAUCGUAAGAUGGAGUGGACCUAUCGGAUAUAAGAAUCUUGCUAAUAGUAGCAGCGCAAGUGAGGUGAGAAUCCUCACCAUCUAAAGGGCUAGGGUUCCUCAGCAAUGAUUAUCAACUGAGGGUUAGUCGAUCCUAAGGCGUACCCUAACCGGAGUACGCCGAAAGGGAUGCAGGUUAAUAUUCCUGCACUGCACAAGUACACGCGGCGACGCAAGUUACAUUCCUGAUUUUUCGGGAUAUGCGGACCAUGGAGACAUGGCUAAAAGUUCAAGCCUGUGGAGUGUCGUAAUGACGAGAAACAGGCGAAUGCUUGAAUGGCCCUCUACGAGGGUUCUGCAGACUUCUGGAGACAGUGAAAAGGGAAUGUAAAAGGAUUUUGUGCAUUCGUACCGAAAACCGUCACUGGUGCCCCUCGCUGAAAAGGCGAAGAUGUAUCGGGAGAAGUCAGUUUAGGGAAUUCGGCAACAUUGGCCCCGUAACUUUGGGAAAAGGGGUGCCUAGCACUCUAUUUAAGAUAGGGCUGUUAGGUCUCAGUAACAAGGGGGGUCCGACUGUUUAACAAAAACGUAGGGGAGUGCUAAUCGGAAACGAUUCGUAUACUUCCUGAGGCCUGCCCAGUGCUGGUAAGUUAACCCGGGUUUCAACUCGGUGAAGCUCCAGUAAACGGCGGCGGUAACUCUGACCGUCUUAAGGUAGCGUAAUCCCUUGCCGAUUAAUUGUCGGCCUGCAUGAAUGGCUUAACGAGAUCCCCGCUGUCCCAAACUGACGCCCGGCGAACUGAAUGUCCUGUGCAUAUUCAGGAGACUUCCAGUGGGACGAGAAGACCCCGUUGAACUUUACUGCAGUCUGUUGUUGUGAUAUGAUUGUGACCGCAUAGCGUAGGUGGGAGCGUCGCACCAGCCCCUUCGGGGACUGGGAAGGCACCAAUGUAACACCACCCUUUCGCUGUCAUAUCGCUUAUCUUUUCGGAGAGACACCAGCAGAUGGGCAGUUUAACUGGGGCGGUAUGC